ACUUUUUUCAAUUGUAUUGCUGUAAUAUUGUCAUGAUGAUGGUCAACAUACGUCACGAAUAAGAAGAUAAGGGAAAGAAUAUAGUCGACUUAAAUGAAAUUAUAACCAGUACCUCCUUAUAACCCCACAUAUAGAAAUUAAUUUUAUUUUUUAUGGUUAUAACCUUAAAAAUAAUAAAAUGAAGUACUAUUUAUAACAUUUAUAUAUUUUUAAACAUGAUUCAAUAUUUAAAAACUACUCGAAAUAUCCUCUUUUAUUAUGAAAGUCUGAUGAAAUCGACCUAUCAGCUGAUAUUUUCUUUGCAAAUAUUAAAGAUAUAAUGUCUCGAAAAAAUUCUGAAGAAUGUCUUCCUUGUAAAAUUACCACCAUUUCUGCAUUAGCUGCUAUAGGUGGUUACUUAAUCCAUCAGGGUAUUAGCAAAAAUAUAAGGACAUAUUUAUUUUUAGGAGCUGGUACCAUUGGAUUGGGAAUGAUAGAAUUAUUUAAGAAUUCUGAAGGAAAAGAGAAAAAAAAUCAUGUUAAAAAGGAAGAAUA